rnacentral:lncRNA from 1 species
GAGCAUAUAAGUAUUCAGCGAUCAGAAAAUAAGUUACUCUUCACUUUUAGUACAUAAAAAGUGGUAGCUAGCUUCGUAUGCAUGCAUUGCAUGCACACAGCACACAAACAGAUUACAUUAUUAAAAAGCAUAAAGAUUACAAAACAUAAGAGUACAUAACAUGCCUCACUUAUUUACUACUACUACUAAACAAUACUGGAAGUAGAAACAGUAGUGUACUUCCAUUUGAGGAGGCGAUAGUUUUUACAUAAUUUUAGGGCAACCAUUUCUUCAAGCUGCAGCCUCAACAGGACAAAUCAUUUUGUCCUCGCGGCAGUAUUCCAUGCAGCACUUGAACCUCUUCUCAUCUGCAUCAUCAACAGAUAAAUAAAACAGGUGAAGAGAGGCAUAUUAGAGAAAGAUCAUUUGACCCUUUUAUGCUACUAUUAAUAUUGAAUAACAAAGAUAUAAAGCCUAUAAAAUUCUACAGAGAACCUGGUGAGAACAAAAUUAAGUAAAAUGUUGGGUGUGCGAACAAAAUCUCACAUCGGUAGCUGAAAAGAUUGAGAGAUNGAUNUUUUAAUGNNNN